rnacentral:rRNA from 1 species
GACGAACGCUGGCGGCGUGCUUAACACAUGCAAGUCGAACGGAAAGGCCUGCUUUCCCUUGUGGAUUGCGGGUACUCGAGUGGCGAACGGGUGAGUAACACGUGAGUGAUCUGCCCCCAACUUGGGUAUAAGCCUGGGAAACUGGGUCUAAUUCCCGAUAGGACUGCAGGGUGGUGCCUGUGGUGGAAAACGAUCUUCUAGUGGUUGGGGAUGAGCUCGCGGCCUAUCAGCUUGUUGGUGGGGUAAUGGCCUACCAAGGCGGCGACGGGUAGCCGGCCUGAGAGGGUGGACGGCCACAUUGGGACUGAGAUACGGCCCAGACUCCUACGGGAGGCAGCAGUGGGGAAUAGUGCACAAUGGGCGGAAGCCUGAUGCAGCGACGCCGCGUGGGGGAUGACGGCCUUCGGGUUGUAAACUCCUUUCGACCGCGAGGAAGCCACCUGGUUGGAAGGGUGGUGACGGUAGUGGUAGAAGAAGCACCGGCUAACUACGUG